UCUUUGUCUGAAAUUUUAACCAUUACUUCAUUUUAUUUCAAUCAAUUUGGCUUAUGUCUGUAUAUGCUUUAGUGGUUUCUAGGCUGGUGAAAGUUUGUUACUUUCUCAGUUUCAGCUUCUUGAAAUGCUUAAUUGGUUUCUGGGUUGGUGAAAGUUUGUUACUUUCUCAGUUCAAGCUUCUUGAAAUGCUUUAUUAGUUUCUAGGUUUGUGGAAAAAAUUGUUACUUUGAUUGUUAGAGAUUGAAUCUGGCUUUAAGUUAAUCAUCAUCUAUAUUGCAUUGUGGAGAUCUAACUUACACCACAUGGUUGAUUUUGAUUUCAAUCUGGAAAAUUUUGAUUUAAGAUUUUGGUGGCGUUGAGAGCAAGGGAACCACAGCAAUGAUGCAAUGCCAUCAUCACAGCAAGAGGUUCACAUCACACACAUUAUGUCUAUGUUUGAUGAUCAGCGCAUUUGAAGACUGACAUUAUGUCUAUGUUUGAUGAUCUUACUCAAGAUGGAUGAAGCUAAAGCUGUUGGGCAGUUAAGGAACUAUAGGAUGGCAAGUCUGCUUGGAUGUUGCUAUGAAGGUGAAGAGAGACUUCUUGUUCAUGAGUUUAUAUAUGCCUAACGAAACUCUGGCUAAGCAUCUUUUCCACUGGGAGUCGCAACCUAUGAAGUGGGCAAUGCGAGUAAGAGUAGCUUUACAUAUUGCUCCUGCUCGUAUUCCUGGUGGUGCUUGCCGUGGAACUGCUGAUAUGAGUGACUUAACUAGGUUGUGAACUAGGUUGUGGUUGUGAUUGUGUGUAUUUUGGCUGGUAAAGCUGCUGGAGCUUAAGUGAUUGUUGUUCCUUCUCUGCCUAAACAAGCACAUCUUUUUCUUCUCUGCCUAAAGUAAAGUUUGAAGUUAGUCCUUUUAAGACUUGGUAAGACUUAUAUUGUUAAUUAGUAAAAUUUUACUUGUAAAUAAUAUGUUUUAUGAUUGCUUAAAAUUUUGAAAUUUCAUCAAAAGGAAAAAUUUAUGUUCAAAAAUUAAAUUAUUAUUUGUAUUUAUAAAGUACCUAUUAAAUUUUGAUCUCUUAAAAAAAUGUUUUUGAAUUUUGUAAUUUAAAAAAAAAAACAAAACCCUAAAUCUUAAACUUAUUUUUAAACUGUAAACAUUAAUUAAAAAUAAUCAAUUUUUCGUAACAGCUUUAUUCUUAAACCUAAAUUCAAAAUUUAAUCAUUUUAAAAAUCUAUAAAACCUUUUUUUUUGCUUAUUUGUAUUUUGUAAUUAAAAUACUAUUUCCAUAGUAUACUUUUAAUCUUAAAUUUAAACUCAAAAUUUGAUAAUUUUAAAGUCUAAUCUCAAAUUUAAAAUCAGAACCUCAAAAAACUAAAUUUUAAAUUUACACCCUAAAUCUAAUACCCUAAACCCAAAACUCAAACCCUACAUAUAAAGUCAAAAAUCUAAUUACUACAAAUAAUAUAAUUACUAAACUAAAACCUAUUCCUUAUAUAAAAAAUAUAUAUUUAGUGUGGUUGAUAUUACAAAUAUGGAUUUUGGUGUGCUUAAAACCCUAAACCCCAAAACUUAACCCUAUACUAUAGACAUAAAUCUUUAAACUCUAAUAUUUUCAUGCUAUAAACCAGAAUUGUAAAUUCAAACUCAAUUUUUUUAUCUUAAUCUUUAACUUCCGCAACAAAAACCUUAAAACUUUAGUGAAACUCUUAAGACCAACCUUUAACAUUACACUUCAAACUGUAAACUCUACGUCCAAAUCUUAAUACAAACUAUCAAACUUUAAUACCUUAAACCCCAACCAUAAUCUCUGCAUAGAAAAUCAUAAAUCCAAUAAUUACAGACUUAUAAUAGAAACUUUAAAUUUAAACCUCAAGCAAAAACUCAAAUCAUAUACUUAAUCCUAAAUUUUAACCCUAACCCCUAAACCACAUAUCUCAUUUUAACAUAAAUCAUAAGACAUUAAAUCUUAAUUUCUAAAUAAAUUAUAUUUCUGUUAAUAAAUUAAAAUUUCAAAUACAAAAUUUAGAUUUCAAAAUUUAAAUUAUGAUACCAAAUUAUUUAUAGUAGCUAUAAAUAAAUAAGAAGACUAUUUGUAUUAUUUUUUUUUUGACUCAUUGAUUGAUUUGAAUCAAAAGCCCAAAAUCAUUUUUGUAUCUAUCCUCGUCCUUUAUUCCUAUUGGUUAAAAAAAGUUGUGUGUGGAUUGAUAAUUUUAACCAUAGAUUAGAUAUUUUGAACGGUUGAGAUUAAAUCUUUUGUGUUUCUCUCUCUCUCUCUCUCUCCUCUCACGUUCUUCACUUUCUUCUUCUUCUCUCUCUCUCUCUCUGAAACAAAGAACAACGAGAUUCAUCUUUGUAUUGUCUUUUUUUUUUCUAUCUAUCUUCUUCAUCCUUGCACAAAAUCACCCCAUCACCAUAAACCUCACCCGCUGCUAUCAUCUUCAUCUCUCGUUCUAUACCUCUGCCAACGAACUAUGUCUCAGCCAUCACCUCUAAUCACUUCAGCUACGGCUACAAUAAGUGGAUCCAUACGGAAACGUUUGAAGCAAAUGUGGAGGAGUCAGUAGAUUUUGUGGAGGAGACAGAAGAUUUGGCGGAGAAGCCUGACGUCAGAGGAGGUGUGAUGGCUACGUCAGAGCGCUGUGGUGAAGGAAAUGGAGGCGACGACAGGAGGAAGACGACCAUGGAAGUCGGAAGGAGCGGCGAUGUGGUGAAGGAGAUGGAGGCGACGACAUGAGGAAUACAUACAACCUUGAAAGGAGGAAGGAGCGGUGGCUUAGGUUUAGGUUUCGGUUUAAUGUGUUAAAAUUAGUUUGUUGGUUUAAUUAAUUCUGGUUUAGUGUUGUAAAAAUAAAAUUUAAUUGUAAAGUGAAUUUAAUUAAUAAAUAAAAUUUCAUUUUUAAUUA